UACGGGGGGGGCGAGCGUUGUUCGGAAUCACUGGGCUUAAAGCGCGCGUAGGCUUGUUAGAAAGUCAAUGGUUAAAUACUGAUGCUCAACAUCAGACCUGCUGUUGAUACUUCUAGCAUAGAGUUUGGAAUAGGUGAAUGGAAUUCCGAGUGUAAAGGUGAAAUUUAUAGAUAUUCGGAGGAACACCAGAGGCGAAGGCGAUUCACUAGUACAAUACUGACGUUGAGGUGCGAAAGCGUGGGUAGCAAACAGG
rnacentral:rRNA from 1 species